rnacentral:tRNA from 2 species
GGUGAGGUGCGAGAGUGGUUGAAUCGGGCGGUCUCGAAAACCGUUGUACCCUUACGGGUACCGUGGGUUCGAAUCCCACCCUCACCGCCA